AACGAACGCUGGCGGCAGGCCUAACACAUGCAAGUCGAACGCCCUAGCAAUAGGGAGUGGCAGACGGGUGAGUAACGCGUGGGAACCUUCCCUGUGGUGCGGAAUAACUCGCCGAAAGGCGUGCUAAUACCGCAUAAGCCCGCAAGGGGAAAGAUUUAUCGCCAUAGGAUGGGCCCGCGUAGGAUUAGCUAGUUGGUGAGGUAAUGGCUCACCAAGGCGACGAUCCUUAGCUGGUGAGAGAAUGACCAGCCACACUGGGACUGAGACACGGCCCAGACUCCUACGGGAGGUAGCAGUGGGGAAUCUUGGACAAUGGGCGCAAGCCUGAUCCAGCCAUGCCGCGUGAGUGACGAAGGCCUUC
rnacentral:rRNA from 1 species